AGCUGUGAGCGGGUUUCAGUAGGUGAACCUGCGGAAGGAUCAUUGUCGAAACCUGCCCAGCAGAACGACCCGAGAACUUGUUCUUCAUGCAUGGGCAAGGGGGCGUCGCCUUGUGUGCGCCCCCCUGCCCACGCCUCGGUGCGGCCACUCGUGGCCGUUCCCCUGGCAAACAACGAACCCCGGCGCGUAAAGCGCCAAGGAACAUAAACUCAAUGUGUGCUCGUGCCCGUGCCCGGUUAGCCGGCGCGCGGGCGUGGUGCCAUGUAUUUAACAAUAAACGACUCUCGGCAACGGAUAUCUCGGCUCUCGCAUCGAUGAAGAACGUAGCGAAAUGCGAUACUUGGUGUGAAUUGCAGAAUCCCGUGAAUCAUCGAGUCUUUGAACGCAAGUUGCGCCCGAAGCCUUUGGCUUAGGGCACGUCUGCCUGGGCGUCACGCAUCGCGUCUCCCCCACACCCACCCCGUGUGGUANGGGGGGGAAGGAUGAUGGGCUUCCCGUGCCUCAAAGGGCGCGGUUGGCCUAAAAUUGGAGCCCACGGCAUCGAGCUGCCGCGGCGAUAGGUGGAAGAUAAGGGCCUCGGCCCGAACCAAGCCAGUCGCGCAGCACUUUGCCAUCGGAGCUCGCAGGACCCUCUGAGCUGCCUCGUUGCAGCUCGAAACCGUUGCGACCCCAGGUCAGGCGGGGCUACCCGCUGAAUUUAAGCAUAUAAUAGNGCGGGAGAAAAA
rnacentral:rRNA from 1 species